GAAAACCCCCCUACGGUGUAGGGGGCUGAUAGUAUCGUUAGAAUAAGCAUCGGCUAACUCGUGCCAGCAGCCGCGGUAAGACGAAGGAUGCAAGCGUUAUCCGGAUUCAUUGGGUUUAAAGGGAGCGUAGGUGGACUUGUAAGUCAGUGGUGAAAUCUUUGGGCUUAACCCAGAAACUGCCAUUGAUACUGCAGGUCUAGAGUACAGUUGCCGUUGGCGGAAUAUGACAUGUAGUGGUGAAAUACUUAGAUAUGUCAUAGAACACCGAUUGCGAAGGCAGCUAACGAAGCUGUAACUGACACUGAGGCUCGAAAGUGCGGGGGAUCAAACAGGAUUAGAUACCCUGGUAGUCCGCACUGUAAACGAUGAUUACUCGUUGCUGGGAAGCAAUUUCCAGUGACCAAGCGAAAGCGAUAAGUAAUCCACCUGGGGAGUACGCCGGCAACGGUG
rnacentral:rRNA from 1 species